CAAAGGUAUAAAUGUAUAUACAUAAACUCAAACCAUGUGUAUAUAAAACAAAACAAAACAAACUAAAAGUAAAUAUAUAAAUAUAAAACUUUAAACUAAAAGUGUAAAUAAAUAAGUAUAUAUAUAAAACAAAUAAUAAUAAUAAAAUUGAAAGUAUAUAUAUAAAUAUAACUUAAAAUAACAAAUAAAAGAUAAAGAAGAUAGAAC
rnacentral:lncRNA from 1 species